rnacentral:tRNA from 1 species
GCGAGAGUGGCGGAACUGGCAGACGCGCACGUUUGAGGGGCGUGUGGAUUUCACCGUACGGGUUCAAGUCCCGUUUCUCGCACCA